GAUAUGUCCAAGGGGUGUUUCCGUACGAAAUUUUCCAAAAUGGCUGACUCGCUCGCGCAUGCGCGACUUAGAUUGAGCGGCGAUGCCAAUCCAUUCACCGCGGUUGGUAUUCAUCAGGUGUUGGCACCGUGGUGGUUGGUGGCUGUCGGAACAGGUGAAUACUGUUGUUUUCGCAUCCAAGCACGUCCAGUUGCUUAAAAAGAUUUCCUAAAAUCACGUUCAAUACCCCAAUCAGCGAUUAGUUUAAGGCGAGUUCGCGUGGAGGGCAACAUGUGGGCAGUAGUGUCGGUGAUGAAGAGGAUCAGAGUCAAAGAGCAAGACAGGACGAGGAGUCAAGGCCAACGUAUUCAGGGAUUUCAAAGAGCCAGCCAGGUUGCUGUGGUUACAAAAAGGACGUCUGGGCUCACAGCUUUGCACAGUGUCGGGGUCAGGGAAGCUCCCAAGUGACCAGCGGCCGGAGCAACAGCCAUCGGCCCCCGCUGAGCAUCAGUAAUUAGAGCCCUCCUUCACCCCCUCCUUCUCCCUGUGCUUCCCUACAAAUCCG